GAGCCGGCCCCCCUUGCCGGGAUCCGCAGCAAAAAACGGACUGGAGCGCCAGGCCCCGGAGUCCGCAGCCCCCUCCCGCAAGCCCUUGCCCGCAGCCGGGGCGCUGCGCUCGGAGCUGCGCGGGGAGCCCGGGGCUGCAGAAGCCGCUCGCGCCCUGGGGCCCCGGGCGCCCACCCCGGGGGACCCCACGCAGCCGCAGCUGCAGCUGCAGGCAGCUCGGGCGUCAGAACGGGGUCUGAGCGCCUGCCGAACCUCAGUUUCCCCGCGGAGACUCUAGAAAGUGACCAAGGCACCGCGCUCACCAGGGCCUGGCCACACCCUCCUCCUCUGGGGGUCAAGUCUUCAGAGCAUCUUCCCCGUUCAAGGGAAAUAUAAGGCCGCAGGAUCCUGGGAAUCCGGAGAGUCUCACCCGGCCACCUUGCACAUCGGGCCCUGGACCUUGUGUGGACCUGUCCUGCACUCAUCACUGGCCUGUGAUUGCCUAUCCCGCUGUGCUACGAGCCUCUCAUGGGUGAAAAGUGUGUCUGAUUCAUCCCUGCGAUUCCCAGCACCACGGACUUACCUAACUGAUGUGGGGUGAGCUGAAGCCCCAGGUGGUUGUGACUGUACCUUUUGUAGAUCCUGAUCAGCUCACUCAGAUGAUGUCACAGGUCAUUGUCAUUCCUUACCUAAAUCAAGGUCACCAUGAGAAGACCUAAGGUCAGUGGAUCCAAGCCUGCGCAGUGGUUCCUAGAGAAGAGCUAAAUUCCUUAUGGUGUAUGUCAUCCUUUUCCAGAGAGAAAGAAGAGAGGAAGAGAGGAUCCUCAAGCAGACUCCCUGCUGAGCCCAGAGCCUGAUGUGGGGCUCCAUCCCACCACCUCGAGAUCAUGACCUGAGCUGAAAUCAAGAGUUGGACACUUAACCUCCUAAGCCACCCAGGUGCCACAUCGUCACCUUGUUUUGAGAAGUAAAUGGGGUAAUGGUAGCUGCCACGUUUUGCUGCCUGUAAUGAAUCAAGCCCUGCCCUGGGAAAUUUACGCGUAACACAGAACGUGCAUGUCUUAGUUCAAGGUCAUCGGCGGCGAGCCAGCUCAGGGAAAAGGAGGUUUAUCGUAAGGCUGCAACCCAUGAUCUGCAAGCAUCCAGAGAGAGAAGAAACAAAAAUAAGAGAGUCGGGCUGCUUCCCGGGGACCAAAGAGGUGAUGGCUAUCAUGCCCCAUGCCUCCCUCUAUGAGGCCGCCUGGUCCUUCGUCACCGAUCUGUCCAUGCAACUGUGCCUUCUCUUGGAAGACCAGCUCCUUCUGCGUACGCGUGGCCACUUGCGGCCCAACACAGCCUCAACUCCUUGCUGCCUCCCAGCGCAGCUGCCCAGGACCUGUUCUGUCUCCCAGGGCCCCCAGCCCAUUCGGGGGCAUCCGACUGCCCUAAAGAGAGUCCAUCAUCAGCCCUUGUGCUGUCACCUGUAGACGGGAUGAUGCGGUCCUGCGGCUGGGGUGAGUGACUGUGGAUGGAGGCCUCUCCUAAAGAAAGAAGAAUCAUCACUAGGCAGGCACCCCCAAAACACAGCUGCCAGGAUGCAGAGCACCUGUCACAUUGCAGCAUGCAGUGCGUCCUCUUCCAGAACUCUCCCCUUCCCACCUCCCUUCCAUUUGCCGGGCACAUCGUUCCUGGGCUUCCUGAUACAUCUGUCUCCAGCCUGGUUCUCUUAUCUUCACUCCCGUCAAUACUUGAA